GAUGAACGCUGGCGGCGUGCCUAAUACAUGCAAGUCGAGCGAACGGACGAGAAGCUUGCUUCUCUGAUGUUAGCGGCGGACGGGUGAGUAACACGUGGAUACUCUACCUAUAAGACUGGGAUAAUUUCGGGAAACCGGAGCUUAUACCGGAUAAUAUUUUGAACCGCAUGGUUCAAAAGUGAAAGACGGUCUUGCUGUCACUUAUAGAUGGAUCCGCGCUGCAUUAGCUAGUUGGUAAGGUAACGGCUUACCAAGGCAACGAUGCAUAGCCGACCUGAGAGGGUGAUCGGCCACACUGGAACUGAGACACGGUCCAGACUCCUACGGGAGGCAGCAGUAGGGAAUCUUCCGCAAUGGGCGAAAGCCUGACGGAGCAACGCCGCGUGAGUGAUGAAGGUCUUCGGAUCGUAAAACUCUGUUAUUAGGGAAGAACAUAUGUGUAAGUAACUGUGCACAUCUUGACGGUACCUAAUCAGAAAGCCACGGCUAACUACGUG
rnacentral:rRNA from 1 species